rnacentral:ncRNA from 1 species
UAAUUGCCAUAACUCCGAGCUCACGACGCUAAGUCUUUAGAUGAAAUCAUUCAAGAUAAGCGUGUUGAGCCAGUGACAGAAUGGUCACAAGGGCUUGAUUGGAAAUGAUCACGCCUCCCGUGUUUGGAAAGGUGUUCCGUGGCGCAACAA